rnacentral:rRNA from 1 species
UUGGAGGGCAAGUCUGGUGCCAGCAGCCGCGAUAAUUCCAGCUCCAAUAGCGUAUAUUAAAGUUGUUGCAGUUAAAAAGCUCGUAGUUGAACCUCGGGGUCUACCCAUUGGUCAGGCUUAAUUGUCUGCACUGGUGAGAUGGAUCUCUACCUUCUGAGGAACUUUCAUGCCAUUUAUUUGGUGUGAUGGGAAAUCAGGACUGUUACUUUGAAAAAAUUAGAGUGUUUAAAGCAGACUAUCGUCUGAAUACAUUAGCAUGGAAUAAUGAAAUAGGACGGACUGAUUCUAUUUCGUUGGUUUCUAGGAUCACCGUAAUGAUUAAUAGGGAUAGUUGGGGGCAUUAGUAUUCAAUUGUCAGAGGUGAAAUUCUUGGAUUUAUUGAAGACUAACUACUGCGAAAGCAUUUGCCAAGGAUGUUUUCAUUAAUCAAGAACGAAAGUUAGGGGAUCGAAGACGAUCAGAUACCGUCGUAGUCUUAACCAUAAACUAUGCCGACUAGGGAUCGGACGAAGUUAAUUUUAUAAUGACGCGUUCGGCGCCUUACGGGAAAC